CUUUAAUUCUCUACUAUUAUUUGUCUUCUCCUCCAUCUUCUUCUUCUCCUCCUCCUUAAUUCUUCUAAAAUAAUUCUUUCCAAUGUGGCUCUGAGAUGUUCAUGUAAAUGUUCAUGUCCUCAAGUUAUAGCUCAAAGAAGUUCAUUGAUGCAUAAAAAGUCACUUAACAAGGUGUUUAUGGGGCACAAGAGUACUCAACUUUCAACAAACAUCAAAUCAUCUAAACUACAAAUAACUUCAUCCAUUAGUAACAAGGUAUGUUUUAUAUGAAACCAAGAAUUUGUUGAUCAGUAAAUUAAGAUGUACACGAGUUCCGGCCUCAGGUCUUAAUGAGUUUCAUUUCGAUUUUGUAUUGAUGAUCACUUGGUUUUGUUAACGGGUUUUUGAGGAUCAAGCAAGAUGAAUUGUUUGUUACAAAGAUGAGAAUGGGGAGAUAAUUUGCGAAGGAUUCGACGAGGGUCCUCGCGUUAAUGAACAAGAUUUAAGAAUAGCUAGCAACCAAAAAGAAAUCGAGAUCAUCGAAAUGCUUCGACGAAGUUGUUUACAAAUUGCAGAAGAAGAUGGAUUAAAGCAUGCUGCAAAGAGUAGUAUUUCUGCAAUUGAAGAUGUUGAUUGGAUCGGCUUUAGAAGAUAUUAGUUAGUAUUAGCUAAAAAGAAAUUAAUAAGUUAGGUUGUUAGUAUAUAUGAUUUUGCUUUCAUAUUUCUUCAAUCACUAACUGUAAAUAAUCAUCUUCAUGUACGUAAUGGAACCACUAUAGGUUUAUUAUUGUAAGCCUGAACUUCUAAUAAGAUGAUCAUAUUCAUGCA